rnacentral:tRNA from 1 species
GCCCAGAUAGCUCAGUCGGUAGAGCAGGGGACUGAAAAUCACCGUGUCGGUGGUUCGAUUGCGCCUCUGUGCACCA